GGUAGUGUGGCCGAGCCAUAUAAGGCAUUGGAUUAAGGCUCUAAUCUCUUCGGGGGCGUGGGUUCGAAUCCCACCACUGCCA